CGCAUCUUGCGCUCCUUGGUAUUCCGAGGAGCAUGCCUGUUUGAGUGUCAUUAAAUUCUCAACUCUCUUAUACUUUGUUGUAAAAGAAAGCUUGGACUGUGGAGGUUUGCUGGCCGCUAGUUGAGGCCAGCUCCUCUGAAAUGCAUUAGCAGAACCGUUUGCAAUCUGCCACAAGUGUGAUAACUUAUCUACACUGGCAAAGGGGGAUUGCUCUCUGUGUUGUUCAGCUUCUAAUUGUCUCGGGUUGAUGAGACAACUUCUUGAAUGCUUGACCUCAAAUCAGGUAGGACUACCCGCUGAACUUAA
rnacentral:misc_RNA from 1 species